AAGCGAUAACUAAGUGGAAAAGGAUGUGAAGUCGCACAGACAACCAGGAGGUUGGCUUAGAAGCAGCCACCCUUGAAAGAGUGCGUAAUAGCUCACUGGUCAAGUGAUCCCGCGCCGAUAAUGUAGCGGGGCUUAAGUACACCACCGAAGUCGUGACAACACGCACGUGUUGUGUGUGUUGGGUAGGGGAGCGUCCUGCGUACGGUGAAGUCAUGGUGUGAACUGUGGUGGAGUGUGUGGGAGUGAGAAUGCAGGCAUGAGUAGCGAAUGAUCUGUGAGAAACAGGUCCGCCGGAUGAUCAAGGGUUCCAGGGUUAAGCUAAUCUGCUCUGGGUGAGUCGGGGCCUAAGGCGAGGCCGACAGGCGUAGUCGAUGGAUAACGGGUUGAUAUUCCCGUACCGGCGAAGAACCGCCCAAGAUAAUCCAGUGGUGCUAAGAGUCCUAACCCGGCUGAGUGGAUCCCUUCGGGGUGAUGCCGGCCGGUCUAACGCUCGACCCCAUGCUGGUGCGUUUAGCGUAUUAACA
rnacentral:ncRNA from 1 species